GUUCAUAUAGCUUAAUUUAUAGAGCGCAGUGUUGAAGUUACUGUGGUGUGGUUACUGUGAAUA
rnacentral:tRNA from 1 species